rnacentral:rRNA from 1 species
UACAGAGGGUGCAAGCGUUAAUCGGAGUUACUGGGCGUAAAGGGCGCGUAGGCGGAUUGCUAAGUUGGAUGUGAAAUCCCUGGGCUUAACCUAGGACUGGCAUACAAAACUGGCGAUCUGGAGUAUUGUAGAGGGUAGUGGAAUUUCCGGGUGUAGCGGUGAAAUGCGUAGAGAUCGGAAGGAACACCAGUGGCGAAGGCGGCUACCUGGACAAAUACUGACGCUGAGGCGCGAAAGCGUGGGGAGCGAACGGG